rnacentral:rRNA from 1 species
UACGUAGGGACCGAGCGUUGUCCGGAAUCAUUGGGCGUAAAGAGCGUGUAGGCGGCCAUUUAAGUCCUGCGUGAAAUCCUGCGGCUCAACCGCAGGCGGUCGUGGGAAACUGGAUGGCUAGAGUGCGGGAGAGGAGAGUGGAAUUCCUGGUGUAGCGGUGGAAUGCGCAGAUAUCAGGAGGAACACCAAUGGCGAAGGCAGAUCUCUGGGCCGUAACUGACGCUGAGGAGCGAAAGCAUGGGGAGCGAACAGG